rnacentral:rRNA from 1 species
GAUGAACGCUGGCGGCGUGCUUAACACAUGCAAGUCGAACGGAAAGGCCCUGCUUUUGUGGGGUGCUCGAGUGGCGAACGGGUGAGUAACACGUGAGUAACCUGCCCUUGACUUUGGGAUAACUUCAGGAAACUGGGGCUAAUACCGGAUAGGAGCUCCUGCUGCAUGGUGGGGGUUGGAAAGUUUCGGCGGUUGGGGAUGGACUCGCGGCUUAUCAGCUUGUUGGUGGGGUAGUGGCUUACCAAGGCUUUGACGGGUAGCCGGCCUGAGAGGGUGACCGGCCACAUUGGGACUGAGAUACGGCCCAGACUCCUACGGGAGGCAGCAGUGGGGAAUAUUGCACAAUGGGCGGAAGCCUGAUGCAGCAACGCCGCGUGCGGGAUGACGGCCUUCGGGUUGUAAACCGCUUUCGCCUGUGACGAAGCGUGCGUGACGGUAAUGGGUAAAGAAGCACCGGCUAACUACGUG